AUCGAAGAAGGCUGUUAGGCAAAUCCGGCAGCGUAAUUCAAGGGUGUGAGACGAGCGAACUUGUUCGCGAAGCAAUCGGAAGUGGUUCCAAGAAAAGCCUCUAAGCUUCAGUCUAACGAGACCGUACCGCAAACCGACACAGGUGGGCGAGAUGAGUAUUCUAAGGCGCUUGAGAGAACUCGGGAGAAGGAACUCGGCAAAUUGGUACCGUAACUUCGGGAUAAGGUACGCCCAAGUAGUUUGACUGGCCUGCGCCAGAAGGACAAAAGGGUUGCAAUAAAAUGGUGGCUGCGACUGUUUAAUAAAAACACAGCACUCUGCAAACACGAAAGUGGACGUAUAGGGUGUGACGCCUGCCCGGUGCUGGAAGAUUAAAUGAUGGGGUGCAAGCUCUUGAUUGAAGUCCCAGUAAACGGCGGCCGUAACUAUAACGGUCCUAAGGUAGCGAAAUUCCUUGUCGGGUAAGUUCCGACCUGCACGAAUGGCGUAACGAUGGCCACACUGUCUCCUCCCGAGACUCAGCGAAGUUGAAAUGUUUGUGAUGAUGCAAUCUACCCGCGGCUAGACGGAAAGACCCCAUGAACCUUUACUGUAGCUUUGCAUUGGACUUUGAACCAAUCUGUGUAGGAUAGGUGGGAGGCUUUGAAGCGUGGACGCUAGUCUGCGUGGAGCCGACCUUGAAAUACCACCCUGGUUUGUUUGAGGUUCUAACCUUGGUCCGUUAUCCGGAUCGGGGACAGUGCAUGGUAGGCAGUUUGACUGGGGCGGUCUCCUCCCAAAGUGUAACGGAGGAGUUCGAAGGUACGCUAGGUACGGUCGGACAUCGUGCUAAUAGUGCAAUGGCAUAAGCGUGCUUAACUGCGAGACUGACAAGUCGAGCAGGUACGAAAGUAGGACAUAGUGAUCCGGUGGUUCUGUAUGGAAGGGCCAUCGCUCAACGGAUAAAAGGUACUCUGGGGAUAACAGGCUGAUUCCUCCCAAGAGUUCAUAUCGACGGGGGAGUUUGGCACCUCGAUGUCGGCUCAUCACAUCCUGGGGCUGUAGCCGGUCCCAAGGGUAUGGCUGUUCGCCAUUUAAAGUGGUACGUGAGCUGGGUUUAAAACGUCGUGAGACAGUUUGGUCCCUAUCUGCCGUGGGCGUUGGAAGUUUGAAGGGGGCUGCUCCUAGUACGAGAGGACCGGAGUGGACGAACCUCUGGUGUAUCGGUUGUCACGCCAGUGGCAUUGCCGAGUAGCUAAGUUCGGAAGAGAUAACCGCUGAAAGCAUCUAAGCGGGAAACUCGCCUUGAGAUGAGACUUCCCGGGAACUAGAUUCCCCUAAAGGGUCGUUCGAGACCAGGACGUUGAUAGGUCAGGUGUGGAAGCGCAGUAAUGCGUUAAGCUAACUGAUACUAAUUGCCCGUGCGGCUUGUUCCUAUAACAUUAGCUCUGUUAUAGACAAGUUGAG
rnacentral:rRNA from 1 species